CUACGGGCCGCUCCAGUGGGGAAUAUUGCACAAUGGGCGCAAGCCUGAUGCAGCCAUGCCGCGUGUAUGAAGAAGGCCUUCGGGUUGUAAAGUACUUUCAGCGGGGAGGAAGGGAGUAAAGUUAAUACCUUUGCUCAUUGACGUUACCCGCAGAAGAAGCACCGGCUAACUCCGUGCCAGCAGCCGCGGUAAUACGGAGGGUGCAAGCGUUAAUCGGAAUUACUGGGCGUAAAGCGCACGCAGGCGGUUUGUUAAGUCAGAUGUGAAAUCCCCGGGCUCAACCUGGGAACUGCAUCUGAUACUGGCAAGCUUGAGUCUCGUAGAGGGGGGUAGAAUUCCAGGUGUAGCGGUGAAAUGCGUAGAGAUCUGGAGGAAUACCGGUAGCGAAGGCGGCCCCCUGGACGAAGACUGACGCUCAGGUGCGAAAGCGUGGGGAGCAAACAGGAUUAGAUACCCCCGUAGUC
rnacentral:rRNA from 1 species